rnacentral:rRNA from 1 species
ACGCUCGACACCUACGGGAAGCAGCAGUGGGGAAUAUUGCACAAUGGGGGAAACCCUGAUGCAGCGACGCCGCGUGGAGGAAGAAGGUCUUCGGAUUGUAAACUCCUGUUGUUGAGGACGAUAAUGACGGUACUCAACAAGGAAGUGACGGCUAACUACGUGCCAGCACGCCGAGUAUNGAGGCGGCUGACGAG